rnacentral:rRNA from 1 species
AUUGAACGCUGGCGGCAGGCCUAACACAUGCAAGUCGAACGAGUGGCGGACGGGUGAGUAAUGGCUGGGAAACUGCCUGAUGGAGGGGGAUAACUACUGGAAACGGUAGCUAAUACCGCAUACCAUCAGAUGUGCCCAGUGGGGAUUAGCUGGUUGGUGGGGUAACGGCUCACCAAGGCGACGAUCCCUGGCUGGUCUGAGAGGAUGACCAGCCAAACGGGAACGGAGCCACGGUCCAGCCUCCUACGGGGGGCAGCAGUGGGGAAUAUUGCACAAUGGGCGAAAGCCUACUGCAGCCAUGCCGGUUGUAGGUAGAGGGCUUUCGGGUUGUAAGCUCCUUUCAGCGGGGCGGCGUUACCCGCAGAGGAAGCACCGGCUAACUCCGUGCCAGCAGCCGCGGUAAUUC